UACGUAGGGUCCAAGCGUUGUCCGGAUUUAUUGGGCGUAAAGAGCUCGUAGGCGGUUCCGUAAGUCGGAUGUGAAAACUCGGGGCUCAACCCCGAGACGCCAUCCGAUACUGCGGUGACUUGAGUCUGGUAGGGGAACAACGGAAUUCCUGGUGUAGCGGUGAAAUGCGCAGAUAUCAGGAGGAACACCGAUGGCGAAGGCAGGUCUCUGGGCCAGUAACUGACGCUGAGAAGCGAAAGCAUGGGGAGCGAACAGG
rnacentral:rRNA from 1 species